ACUGGGCGUAACGGGCAGUGUAGACGGCCUAGCAGGUCAGACGUGAAAUCCCCGGGCUCAAAUCGGGACGUGCGUAUGAAACAGUUAGGAUAGAGGAUACGAGAGGAAAGCGGAAUUCCUGGUCUAUCGCUGAAAUGCGUAGAUAUCAGGAGGAACACCGUUGACGAAAACGGCAUUCUGGACUAGUUCUGACGCUGAGGCUCGAAAGCGUGGGGAACGAACGGGAUUAGAUACCCCGGUAGUCCACGCUGUUAACGAUGAGCACUAGGUGUAUCGGGUAUCGACCCCUGCUUGUGCCUCAGCUAACGCUAUAUAGUGUCUCCGCCUGGGGAUUACGCACGCAAGUGUGAAACUCAAAGGAAUUGAAGCGGGCCCCGCACAAGCCGCUGGAGUAGUGUGGUAUAAUUCAGAUGCUUACGCGAAGAACCUUAACACGGGCUUGACAUGUUGGUGGUAGGAAGCCGAAAGGUAAGCCUGACCUUUCGGGGAGCAUUCACAGGUCCUGCAGUGACUGUUGUCAGCUCGUGUCGUGAGAUUUUGGCUUAAGUCCCGCAACGAGAGCAACUCAUAACCUUAGUGGCCAUCAGUUCGGAUGGGAACUCUAGGGGAACAAUCGGUGACAAACCGGAGUGAAGGUGGGGAUGACGUCAAGUUCUCAUGGCCAUUAUGUCUUGGGAUACUACACAGUACUACAAUGGUCGGUACAAUGAGUAGCAAUAUUAGCCGAGGUGGACCCAAUGAUCGGGGAACCGGCCUCAAUUCAGAUUGGAGUCUGCAACUCGAUUCCAUGAAGUUGGAAUCGAUAGUGAUCGCGGAUCACGCAUGCCGCCGGUGAUUCGUUCCAGGGGCUAGUAUACCCAGCCCGUACAACACGUGAGUUGCUGUAUUAGAAGUCGUUAGGCGUCUGGCAAGGAG
rnacentral:rRNA from 1 species